rnacentral:rRNA from 1 species
UACGUAGGGGGCAAGCGUUGUCCGGAUUUAUUGGGCGUAAAGCGCUCGCAGGUGGUUCAUUGCGUCGUGCGUGAAAGACCCCGGCUCAACUGGGGAGGGUCGUGCGAAACGGGUGAACUAGAGGCCAGUAGGGGGAUGCGGAAUUCCGGGUGUAGUGGUGGAAUGCGUAGAGAUCCGGAGGAACACCAGCGGCGAAGGCGGCAUCCUGGACCGGCAUUGACGCUGAGGCGCGAAAGCCAGGGGAGCAAACGGG